UACGUAGGGUGCAAGCGUUAAUCGGAAUUACUGGGCGUAAAGCGUGCGCACGCGGUUAUGUAAGACAGGUGUGAAAUCCCCGGGCUUAACCUGGGAACUGCAUUUGUGACUGCAUAGCUAGAGUACGGUAGAGGGGGAUGGAAUUCCGCGUGUAGCAGUGAAAUGCGUAGAUAUGCGGAGGAACACCGAUGGCGAAGGCAAUCCCCUGGACCUGUACUGACGCUCAUGCACGAAAGCGUGGGGAGCAAACAGG
rnacentral:rRNA from 1 species